UACGGGGGGGGCAAGCGUUGUUCGGAAUUACUGGGCGUAAAGGGCGCGUAGGCGGUCUUCUAAGUCUUGUGUGAAAUCCCUCGGCUCAACUGAGGAACUGCACGGGAUACUGGAAGACUUGAGUUCGGGAGAGGGAAGCGGAAUUCCGGGUGUAGCGGUGAAAUGCGUAGAUAUCCGGAGGAACACCGGUGGCGAAGGCGGCUUCCUGGACCGAUUACUGACGCUGAGGCGCGAAAGCAUGGGGAGCGAACAGG
rnacentral:rRNA from 1 species